GAGAUUUCACAACAUGAGACAAGGCCAGCAGACCACCAGCACAUGCCUCAUGCGAGAUUGGGAAGAUAAACUCUUUUUUAAAAGUGCAAGGCUUACACUAGAAAGGAAGCAAUUUUGCCUCAAUUGUGGAAAAGUAAAAGACUAACCGGUUCCUUAUGUUCCUACUUGCUCUUCGAGAUCAUCAUUGGAAGCCCUUCAUCAGAGGUGAAGUAUAGCUGAAGUUUUCCAUUUCUGCAUAUAUGUUUUUUAAAAUGUUCUACGGUGAGUGCUAUAGCAUUGUAGGGCACCAUUGUCAUGUCUGAAGCUGUUUCCAGCUAUAGCACUGUAGCACUUGUCCUGGAACCUUCAAAAGAAAAAAUAGCCACAAAAGGACACGAGGAGAAAAAAGGCAGGAAAACAACCGCGGUGCUGUUUGAACUAGCCAGAGUGCUUCAGAGACAACUGACAGACUGAUUGAAAUGGGCGGUAUGAAUGCCCAUCUCUGCAUCGUUUACUCAGAAAUGGAGCAACAACGGAUGACAUCCAGUUUACAACCAUGUUUUGUUUCUGCUAGUGUUUGUCAGUGAAUUUCUGAUUUUAAGCUUCUCGUAUGGAAAUCUUAUUUUAUUGCUGUUUGCUAUUAAUAUGUUAUCAUUGUGCUUUAAUCAUCAAUAGUUGCUUUAAUUGUCAUUCUCUGGGAUUUGUCAUUUUAUUGUGUGAGCAAACAAGCAUCUAGAUAAAAAUAAACCAUGGUUUCAUGUUAUGUCUGAACUGAGCCUGUAAGAAGUCUAUUGAAAGGCCAGAAUGACUGACAACGCCCCCCCCCCUUCCAUCCACCCGUACUGAUUCAAUUUAGAAACCAAUCAUGGUGCGAAACCAGGUGUAUAUAAUCUAGGGCACAGAAGCCACACUUAUCCAACUUGUUAGCAUGGAGUGCCAUGGCUGUGCCUGGUGUGGAACACAAAAACAGAGGCCAAGAGCUGUCUCAUUGGUGUGCGUGUUCGUGUUUGUGUGUGCGUGGGUGUGGGUGUUUCCACCACAUCCCCAUCUUAACAUUUCCAAAGGCUUCUUAUCUAAAAUCUAUAUGUAUUCAUUAUAUCUGGAAAAUAAU